rnacentral:rRNA from 1 species
AAUAGAUACCCGGGUAGUCCACGCCGUAAACGAUGAGUGCUAAGUGUUAGGAGGGUUUCCGCCCUUUAGUGCUGCAGCAAACGCAUUAAGCACUCCGGCCUGGGGAGUACGGUCGCAAGACUGAAACUCAAAGGAAUUGACGGGGGCCCGCACAAGCGGUGGAGCAUGUGGUUUAAUUCGAAGCAACGCGAAGAACCUUACCAGGUCUUGACAUCCUUCGCUACUUCUAGAGAUAGAAGGUUCCCCUUCGGGGGACGGAGUGACAGGUGGUGCAUGGUUGUCGUCAGCUCGUGUCGUGAGAUGUUGGGUUAAGUCCCGCAACGAGCGCAACCCUUGACCUUAGUUGCCAGCAUUCAGUUGGGCACUCUAAGGUGACUGCCGGUGACAAACCGGAGGAAGGUGGGGAUGACGUCAAAUCAUCAUGCCCCUUAUGACCUGGGCUACACACGUGCUACAAUGGAUGGUACAAAGGGCUGCAAGACUGCGAAGUCAAGCCAAUCCCAUAAAACCCAUUCUCAGUUCGGGAUUGCAGGCUG